UUUUCAUUCCCGUUGUCAUGGAGGGCCACAUCUGCCAGAGCCUGGAGUCUGCGAAGGCCGGGACCCGGUUCCCCGGCCCGCCGUGGGGAGUGUGCAAACCCGAGAGAACUGGGUUGCAAAUUCGUGAAGAAUCAGCAGCAUGUUUGGCAGCUGAGUAUUGGAGCCAGGAGCCUGCCAUGAGGUUUUGAGAACAGGGUGCUGUUUUAGAGCUGGCAGCAGCAUCUCAGCCCAAGAGAAGCUGAUGCAGCCUCAGUGUUCCUUUGCCUUGGGGGUUUCUGAGUGGUGGGGUUGUAAGGAGAGCCUGCCAGGCAUCCAGAAGGAAACCUCAUCAGGACUCCCUCAGAAAGGCCCUGAAGAAUCCUGUGACCUUCCUCUAAAGUAGGUCAUGAGACCCCCUGAGCUUAAAACGGAGUGAUCGGCUUUGGAGAAGCAUGACUCCACAGUUUCUGCAACAACAGAGCCGGGGAAAGGAGGACGCAGCAAGCGCUGAAUAUUAACCAGCAAAGGUAGAUGCUUCAAUAUCGAAACCACCAGGACCCGCAUGUGCAAAGCUACUUAAUGAGGGUGUAAUCAAACACAGUCUACCA
rnacentral:antisense_RNA from 1 species